CACGUAGGGGCUAGCGUUAUCCGGAAUUACUGGGCGUAAAGGGUGCGUAGGUGGUUUCUUAAGUCAGAGGUGAAAGGCUACGGCUCAACCGUAGUAAGCCUUUGAAACUGGGAAACUUGAGUGCAGGAGAGGAGAGUGGAAUUCCUAGUGUAGCGGUGAAAUGCGUAGAUAUUAGGAGGAACACCGGUGGCGAAGGCGGCUUACUGGACUGUAACUGACGCUGAGUCACGAAAGCGUGGGGAGCAAACAGGAUUAGAUACCCGUGUAGUCCCUGAGCGGGCU
rnacentral:rRNA from 1 species